GCUGCUGUUCCUGCGGAUGAUUUUGCUGCUCUUGAUCUUGCUGCUGCUUUUCAGGAUCGGCGUGAAGUGAAUCGCUUGCUGCAGCCUCGACUUGGACCGGAACCUCGCUCGCAGGCUCCGUGAUGAGAAUGGAACUGCGAUGAUUUCCAGUAAAACCGGUACGUCACCUUUGGACUCUCACCGGUCGCGACUGUUGCCAUUUUGACCGCUGACAAACGUUUUCUUAACUCAAUUUAUUAUUAAGCAUUAUUUAACCUCUUAAUUAUCAGGAGACAAAGCAGUUUUCAUGUUUAGCGAGGCAAAGGAACAAGCUUCAAGGGAAGUGCACGGGGAAUGGUGAA
rnacentral:lncRNA from 1 species